rnacentral:snRNA from 1 species
AGGUUUGCGCAGUGACAGUAUCGUAGCCAAUGAGGUUUAUCCGAGGCGCGAUUAUUGCUAAUUGCACAUGCACACGUAUGUUUAUUGCAGCACUAUUCACAAUAGCAAAGACUUGGAAUCAACCCAAAUG